CAGUGUGAUGAAAACCAGGGGAUCCAGCACCAGACUGACUCGAGAAAGAUGUUGCAAAAGAUCGUCCAGUGCUAUCUUGAA